GAUGAAGAACGCAGCGAAAUGCGAUAAGUAAUGCGAAUUGCAGAAUUCAGUGAAUCAUCGAAUCUUUGAACGCACAUUGCGCCCGCCAGUACUCUGGCGGGCAUGCCUGUCUGAGCGUCAUUUCAACCCUCGCGCCCGGCUUCUGUCGGGGGCGGUGUUGGGGAUCGGCCUCCCGUCUUCCGGGCGGCCGGCCCCUAAAUGGAGUGGCGACCGCGCCGUAGCCUCCUCUGCGUAGUAGUGAAACACUCGCGGGCGGAGAGCGGUGCGGCCCGCCGUAAAACCCCCAACUCUUCUAAGGUUGACCUCAGAUCAGGUAGGAAUACCCGCUGAACUUAAGCAUAUCAAUAACGGAGGA
rnacentral:misc_RNA from 1 species